rnacentral:rRNA from 1 species
UACGGGGGGGGCAAGCGUUGUUCGGAAUUACUGGGCGUAAAGGGCGCGUAGGCGGCCUUCUAAGUCAGACGUGAAAUCCCUCGGCUCAACCGAGGAACUGCGUCUGAUACUGGAAGGCUUGAAUCCGGGAGAGGGAUGUGGAAUUCCAGGUGUAGCGGUGAAAUGCGUAGAUAUCUGGAGGAACACCGGUGGCGAAGGCGGCUCUCUGGACCGAUACUGACGCUGAGGCGCGAAAGCGUGGGGAGCAAACAGG